CAGAGGGUUUGGCCAGAAAAUUGAAGAAGAUGAAGAAUAAACACGAUAUAUGCGAUUUAGUUUGUAUUUGUGGGAAGUUACAACCGGAAAUCAAGAAAUUAUGAUGAAUGGUAUCUGUAGAUCAUCCUUUGCAUGAGAUGCAAUGGCACCAUGGGAUUUGCUUCUUCUUAUCAUUCCAGCAAAAUUCUUUACACUGUUCCUCGUCCUCUAGUUUUGUUGAUCUUUCUCUCUUCCUGCAGGCAUCUUCUAGUCACAUUGUGAUUAAUGAUUUUGUAGUUGUUGUGCCAUCAUUAUCUGUAUCCAUAUACAGCUUCAUUUUUAUCCAUAAUUUCCUUCGGAAUUCUAAA